rnacentral:tRNA from 1 species
AUUAAAAUAGCUCAAGGAAGAGUUUUGCAUUGAAGCUGCAAAGGUGACUUUAAUGUCUUUUAAUA